rnacentral:misc_RNA from 1 species
UACAUAUACAUAGCUGUCAUUGCGGUGCAUUUUUGAUGCAUUUACAAGACUAUAUAUUUUUCAUAAAAGAAAGAAAAAUGAAAAUAUUGCUCCAGCAGUGGAAGGCUUUUGGUGAAAACAUCAUUUUUAUAAGCGCUGUAUGUUGUUACAAUCUCCGUUAGUGUCUGAAUGGACAGUUAUACUAAACGUCUGCAUUUUCGUUUCAUCCUCGGAAAUUGUGAAUGGUUGCAUGAGUCUGAUGAGUGAGAAUUUCUGUGCAUGGAUGAUCUGUUAUUCCAAUAUUCCUAAUGAUGUCUAACGUUCACUAAUUAAUUAGUAUAUUUGAUGGGAAGAAAUGUAUUUUACCGUAAAUGUAAAGUUUUUAUUUGACCAAUACAUGAUUCAUGUUGGCUUAAACUUGCAGAAAUAGUUAAAUUUUUGUACACCAAAAAAGCAUUUUACUGUUUAAUUUAUAUUUUUAUCUGAAUCUUCCUUCAAUUGUCCAUUAAAAAUGAGUAAAAAUGCAAAUAUGUU